rnacentral:lncRNA from 1 species
AAACACUUCCUAGCAAAGCUGUCUGGAUUGAGGAGCUGUUUAGCCAGAAUUCAAUUCUCCUCCACUCCUUUUUACUGCAAAAUGGGGCGCUAUAUGCUGAUCCUGGCUGUGACUGUAACUCUCGUCUUAGUUGCCCAGGCCCUGAAAUGUAAACACUGCUCGGACAUUCAAAAGAUGCCGCCUUACUGUGAAAAAACAGAGGAACGAGAAUGCAGUAUUGGCUCCAAUAAGUGCAUUACCAUCGACUUUGCAAAACCAGCAUAUGGUCAAGUGCGCAGAUGUGCCACUCACAGAGAAUGUGAAGAUAAAGUGCCUAGCCAGGUGCAGAUACACUGCUGUGACGAAGACCUCUGCAACUGACCUUCCUAUACUUAUAGAGAGAAGAGGGGAGCAAGUCCACUUUAAAUAAAGCCAAACUAUCUCUAGCAUUAUUUAUAAUUAAUUUAACAAAUGAAUAGCUGCCAAAAUGUAGCCCUCACUAAAUGUGUUCACUAAAAAUUCAUUAUUAAAUGAAACAAAAUAAAUAACAUGCAUGCA